rnacentral:rRNA from 1 species
UACGGAGGGUGCGAGCGUUGUCCGGAAUCAUUGGGCGUAAAGGGCGCGUAGGUGGCCCGGUCAGUCGAUGGUGAAAGCGCGGGGCUCAACUCCGCGUCGGCCGUCGAUACUGCUGGGCUUGAGCACUGUAGAGGCAGGCGGAAUUCCUGGUGUAGCGGUGAAAUGCGCAGAUAUCAGGAGGAACACCGGUGGCGAAGGCGGGGUCUCUGGCCCGGAUCUGACGCUGAGGCGCGAAAGCGUGGGGAGCAAACAGG